GUACCUCCAACAAGCAAAGCUGCCUUUAACAUAAGAGGGAAUACACUCCAUUUUGCAUUUAAGAUUCCAGUAAACACGAGUUUUGAUUACUUCAAACUAAGUAUAAAUAUUGUAACCAAAUAAAAUUUUGGCGAUCUUAGUAUUAUAACUGUUGAUGACUUGUUCCAAUAUUAUGUAUAUUUCCUCAUUAGAUAUUUGAGGAUUAACACAUGUUUAUCGCAUAAGCAACCGAACUCCGGUCAAGGCUUCAAGUAUUGAGCUUCAAGAGAAGAGAAGAUAAGGACUUCGCUAGAAUUUUAAAUUGCAUCAUGAAAAGAAUAAUUAAUGAAGCUGACAUUAACAUUUUAAUAUUGUAAGAAGGGAUUAUCUAGUAUAGGGGGAUAUAGCAAUGAUUUGACUGUUGAUGAACAUGAUCACGAUGUUUUUUAUUUUCAUUAAUCCAGAAACGAGAAAGUCUACUCAAAAGAAAUUGACAUUGAACUUGGCGAUUUAUUACAAGACAUUAAGGUUUUUUUCUAAAGCAUCGAACGACUCCUCAAAAAUCACGAGGUAGUUCUCCAUUUGUUCCAUACUAAAAAAAAUGCAAAAAAUUGUCUGGCAGCAAAGUCCUCGUUUUGAUGGAUGUUAACUAAAUUGGAUGUAUAACUAAUUGUGCUGAAUGUUAACUAAAAAAGUAAAUUACCAAGUAAUAGGUUCGCUAAUGCCAAGUAUUAUGUACGAGUUUUAUUUCAAGAAGAGCGUAUAAUCUGGAGAUACGUUCAAUAAAGACUUAAUGUUGUCGAGAUAA